CGGGGGGAGCAAGCGUUGUUCGGAUUUACUGGGCGUAAAGGGCGUGUAGGCGGCCACCGCAAGUCGACUGUGAAAUCUCCGGGCUUAACUCGGAAAGGUCAGCCGAUACUGCGGGGCUAGAGUGCAGAAGGGGCAACUGGAAUUCUCGGUGUAGCGGUGUAAUGCGUAGAUAUCGAGAGGAACACCUGCGGCGAAGGCGGGUUGCUGGGCUGACACUGACGCUGAAACGCGAAAGCUAGGGGAGCGAACGGGAUUAGAUAUCCCGGUAGUCCUAGCCUUAAACGAUGAAUGCUUGGUGUCUGGGGUUUUAUAGUCCCCGGGUGCCGUCGCUAACGCUUUAAGCAUUCCGCCUGGGGAGUACGGUCGCAAGACUG
rnacentral:rRNA from 1 species